rnacentral:rRNA from 1 species
UACGGAGGGGGCUAGCGUUAUUCGGAAUUACUGGGCGUAAAGCGCACGUAGGCGGCUUUGUAAGUCAGAGGUGAAAGCCUGGAGCUCAACUCCAGAACUGCCUUUGAGACUGCAUCGCUUGAAUCCAGGAGAGGUGAGUGGAAUUCUGAGUGUAGAGGUGAAAUUCGUAGAUAUUCGGAAGAACACCAGUGGCGAAGGCGGCUCACUGGACUGGUAUUGACGCUGAGGUGCGAAAGCGUGGGGAGCAAACAGG